rnacentral:rRNA from 1 species
GACGAACCGUGCGAACGUUGUUCGGAUUCACUGGGCUUAAAGGGCGCGUAGGCGGGUCGGCGAGUCCGGGGUGAAAUCUUUCGGCCUAACCGGAAAAGGGCCUCGGAUACCGCCGAUCUCGAGUGAGGUAGGGGCGGGCGGAACUUCCGGUGGAGCGGUGAAAUGCGUUGAUAUCGGAAGGAACGCCGGUGGCGAAAGCGGCCCGCUGGACCUCGUCUGACGCUGAGGCGCGAAAGCCAGGGGAGCGAACGGGAUUAGAUACCCCGGUAGUCCUGGCCCUAAACGAUGGGUACUAGGUAGUGGGCUUGACAUGGGCUCACUGCCGAAGCAAAAGUGGUAAGUACCCCGCCUGGGGAGUAUGGUCGCAAGGCUGAA